rnacentral:rRNA from 1 species
UACGGAGGGUGCAAGCGUUAAUCGGAAUUACUGGGCGUAAAGCGUGCGCAGGCGGUUUGUUAAGUCUGUUGUGAAAUCCCCGAGCUCAACUUGGGAAUUGCAAUGGAUACUGGCAGGCUGGAGUAUGGUAGAGGAAGGUGGAAUUCCCGGUGUAGCAGUGAAAUGCGUAGAGAUCGGGAGGAACACCAGUGGCGAAGGCGGCCUUCUGGACCAAUACUGACGCUCAUGCACGAAAGCGUGGGGCGCAAACAGG